CUGGGUGGCUUCAGACAACAGAAGCUUGUCACUGUUCUAAAGACUAGAAGUCCAAACUCACGGUGCAGGAGCACGUAGCAGGGACCCCUCCUGGCUCCUCCUGGCUCCUGGCGGUUUCUGACAAGCCAGGCUUGUGGAUGCGCCACUCCAAGCAUGGUGCUCAUGUGGCUCUGCCGCUGUCACAUCAGCUAGCCCGUGCCUGCGUUCACCUGGAUGCACAUGGCACACACGUAGGAGUUGGAGUGUUUAAACAUAAAUGCUUAGGCAAACAGGAGCCUCGGACAACCUUCAAUGACCCCGUGAUGGGAGUCACUGUUCACAUCUAGCCACCUUCCUCCCACAGAUUUGACUCAGACUCCCUCUCAAAGGUGAGGCUUCUCGACCUUUCUGCAGUUUAGAAGCUGGGUCUUUCAGAAGUCUCACGGGCUGUUGCCUCAGGCCUCAGACCCACACUUCUCAGGACCCCGGCUCUGCCUGGUGAAGCAGAAGCCACAGAAAUGGUGUCCAGGGACCCCAUCCAGGUGGGUCUCACCCUGACAGGCACAGCGCAGACUUCCGCGUGCGUCCAGGCUCUCCUUCCUCAAAACCCUGCCUCCUUCCUAUUCAAGACAUGGGGUUUGACAUUUUAAAAUUGGUUCUUUCUGUACCAAAUUAUGACCUUCUAGAGUGACUAGAACAAAAAUGUGUUGAGCUGCGCCUUAAAGGGUCUUGCAUUUGGGGUCUCACAGCUACUGAGACCAGGGCCGUUGGCCAGAUGCAUGUGGGGCCGGGCAGAGGAUCCACACAACCUGGUACAGUCUAACUCAAGAGCAUCUGCCUCUCAGGGACCCCACUUUUCACACCUCCCCAGUGGGAGGAGUCGCUGAGUCAGGCAGUAACACACCACGCCCACUGGAACUCACUGGGCCUCCUCCACCUGUGUCUGGCUGGGCUAGCCUAACACUGUGCAGGGGAAGGAGCUUACUGAGCUCCCUAUUCUUAAAAAUCAAUCGACAUCAAAAGUUUCAGAGAAUUUAUUGGAAGUCUCUACCUUGUACCCUUACAAACAAUGUUGCCAGUACUGACCCACCUGAUGGAAUAAAUAGGAUAUGUUUGACAUGUAUGUACAAGUGGCUCUCAAGGUUGAUUCUUCUGGUUUCCACAAUUCCUUUGUAAUCUCACUGUCACCCACAUGCCAACCUUUUCCCUUCCACCUAUUAAGAUGCAGUUUGUAUGUACAGUGCACUCUUCCUCACAACGAUUAAG
rnacentral:lncRNA from 1 species